ensembl:lncRNA
AAAUAUUAUUUAUAAAUAAAAUAUCAUUUAAAAUGUUUGCCAAAUAUUAUUUUAGAUAUGUUAAAAAAUUUAAAUAUUUAUUAAAAACAAAUGUUAUUUGAUUUUUUUUUUUACAUUUAUUUGAAAUAUAAAAUAUAUAAUUUAUCUGCCUAUGCCAUGCAGAUGAAAGUUAUUAUAAUAUGCAUACUAAUAAAACAUAUCAGAUUAUUACUAUUGCAAUAUAGUGAUGAGAAACUGCACAGAUUUAGUUCAGGUUUUGUUCACGUCAUUCAUUAUUUCAGAGCAGAGAGCCAUCAUCAGCGUGUGUUUCAACUCCGCUCGGGAAAGUUUUAAUUUUAUCAUCUGUGCAACUUUAUCUUUCUGCCCUGACACAUCUCUCUUUCUCUUCACACUGACCCUUCCUCAUUCAUGAGCCACCUCUCCUCCUCCUCCUUCUCCUCAGUUUUCAUCCUCCUCCAUUGCUUCUUCUAUUAACUCUAAUGUUAAUUUGAGGUGUUGAGAUGUGUGAACAUAUUUAGAGACCUCAGGAGGCUUCCAAACUAAAGAAAGUGCAUGAUAUAUAUAUAUAUAUAUUUGAAGCAAUGACAAGCAGGAAGAACAGCACAAUAUAUGACAAAUAACAAUAUAUCAGUCAUAUUUUAAAGAAAAAAGCAAGCAAAUCUCAGUUUUGUUGAAAAAAUUCCACUGAUUUGUGAUUCUGACAAUAUUAAUAAACAAUAAUAGCUGAUAAAUAAACAAUACCACAAUAUGCAGAUCUAAUAAUGUAAAACAAUCAAAGAAGUCACUGAAUCUUUUUGUAUAAUGUCCAGUCUUGUCAUGUUUUUAAAAAUCGUUCUGUUACCGUCACCAUCAAUGCUGACACUACUAAAAACACUCGUUACUACUAAAUAAAUAGAAGAAGUAGCAUAAAUAUGACAAAGGCAGAAAAGAAGCUGAUUAAGAGCUGAAGGAAAUGGAGAGAUGUACCUUCUGUGGGCUCAGGCAUGGCUGUGGCUGUGUUGCUUGUCUUCCUUCGACUGACAGCUUGUGUCACUUUUUUUGCCUUUUAUUUCACAGUCCCUCUGUUAUUCAAAGCGUCCAGGGAACUCAAAUUACCCACCAAGCAAGGAGAGAGCUGGCAGGAGGGAGACAAUCCAGGGGGAGAGAAGACAGCACUGACACUCGAAACCCCUCCUGGAUUCUCCAAAUCUAAGAACAACGUUUGGAGGGAUGGAGAGCGAGCCGGACACGAGUGUUUGCUGACAGACGUGUUAAGGGAUCGGUGUUCGUCGACUCCAGACUGCAGGACGAGUGAAGAGAGACAAUCUGAAGUAUCCGUCUAAUGGCAUCACUCUCGUUCAGCUCUCUUGUACACACCAUGUGGACCUAUGGUUAUUUUUAUUUAUUUCGUUUACAUUAAUGACUUGGAUUACAUCAACAUGCAAUUAGUAAAUGUCAGUGUUCAUUUGUUCUUCAUUUCAUAAUUUUUAUUUAUUUAUUCCUUUUUUAUUAAAGGCUGACUGUCUUUAUACUAUUUAUUUUAAGUGUUUUGUGAUUUCUACAUUUCAUUCUAUG